rnacentral:rRNA from 1 species
AGCGAACGCUGGCGGCAGGCUUAACACAUGCAAGUCGAGCGCCUGUAGCAAUACAGGAGCGGCAGACGGGAGAGUAACACGUGGGAACGUACCCUUCAGUUCGGAACAACCCAGGGAAACUUGGGCUAAUACCGGAUAAGCCCUUACGGGGAAAGGAUUUAUCGCUGAAAGAUCGGCCCGCGUCUGAUUAGCUAGUUGGUGAGGUAAUGGCUCACCAAGGCGACGAUCAGUAGCUGGUCUGAGAGGAUGAUCAGCAUCACUGGGACUGAGACACGGCCCAGACUCCUACGGGAGGCAGCAGUGGGGAAUAUUGGACAAUGGGCGCAAGCCUGAUCCAGCCAUGCCGCGUGGAUGAUGAAGG